UGCAUCAGAUUCUUACCGGAAUCUCUUAUUAUCACUCCAACAAUUUUGUCCAUGGAUGCUUAUCUCCUUACCAUGUGCUGAUAGAUAUUAAAGACAUUAGAUUGAAACUGGUUCAUGUUGGAAUGGUUGUUCGUCCCUCUGGCAAGGCACCGGAAAUUUUGGAGGGUUUAAGAAACUACUCCUUUCCUGCUGAUGUAUGGUCCAUUGGUUGUAUAUUUGCUGAAAUGGUCCUCCUCAAGCCUCUAUUUGGCAGUGCAGAUGAAGCUCAUGAAUCAGCCAAGAUUUCCAGGUGCUAGCUGCUUAUAAACAUAGCACACACCCACUAAUUUUCUGUAUAUUUACGUACUUAUUGUUCAAUCUCUUCUCUUAUACGAAGGUUAAUGGGUACCCAGAAUGAAGAAACCAUGCCUAAGGUGACUGCAGCACAUGAAUAUCUCCAUUGUUUUAGAAAAUCUUAAUCUAAUCCCCUACUUAUUUGUGAUGCCAUGCGAAUAUAAUGCAGGAUCUUUCACCAAUGUUCCGCAAUCACCUUGAACCCGCUGGUUUUGAUCUUCUUAUGAGAAUGCUACGUCUGAAUCCAAGCGAGAGAAUCACAGUUGAUGAAGCUCUGAGGCAUGAAUACUUCAGGAAUGUGUAUAUUCCAGACCCAGAAUGAUUUUACUGCAUAAACUAGCAAUGCUACCUCUGCUUUCACAAUUGCUUUCACUGGUUAAUGGAUUUUUGUAAUACAUUGAUUGAAUUUCUCAUAAUAUAAAUAUGUAGAAGAUAAUUUUCAA